CCCACCUUGCUGAAAUAUGGUUGGCCGCAGCUGCUGGAGGAAAAAAACAAAACAACAGCCAUGUAUUGCGCAAGCAGCUUCUCUAUGAACUAAAGGGAUGCAGAAACCAUUUGGGAGUCUGUCUCCUCCAAUCAGCUGCCCGGAAGAAGGGAAGACAAACAGAUAUGUGGUCACCACACUAAAGGGGAAGCAUUAUAAUUACUAUCAAUCAGUAACAUUCUGAAACCUCAAACACGUCCUUUCUUGAUGGCAUCGACAUCAAAGGGGAGUUUUCAAAUGAAAAUGCAGUUGCAGCUACGUCAGGAUGACUCGCACUCUAUGAAGCAAUUCUAACAGCCUUCUAGCAGGACCUGGCCAGAGAAUCUCAGCUUCUCGUCAAAGCACACCGUGCAUAACGUUGGG